rnacentral:rRNA from 1 species
UACGAAGGGGGCUAGCGUUGCUCGGAAUGACUGGGCGUAAAGGGCGCGUAGGCGGCUUGAUAAGCGUGCGGUGAAAGCCCGGGGCUCAACCCCGGGUCGGCCGUGCGAACUGUCGAGCUGGAGCACUGUAGAGGCAGGUGGAAUUCCGGGUGUAGCGGUGGAAUGCGUAGAGAUCCGGAAGAACACCGGUGGCGAAGGCGGCCUGCUGGGCAGUGGCUGACGCUGAGGCGCGACAGCGUGGGGAGCAAACAGG